GAUGAACGUUGGCGGCGUGCCUAAUACAUGCAAGUCGAGCGAACAGAUGAGGAGCUUGCUCCUCUGACGUUAGCGGCGGACGGGUGAGUAACACGUGGAUAACCUACCUAUAAGACUGGGAUAACUUCGGGAAACCGGAGCUAAUACCGGAUAAUAUAUUGAACCGCAUGGUUCAAUAGUGAAAGACGGUUUUGCUGUCACUUAUAGAUGGAUCCGCGCCGCAUUAGCUAGUUGGUAAGGUAACGGCUUACCAAGGCAACGAUGCGUAGCCGACCUGAGAGGGUGAUCGGCCACACUGGAACUGAGACACGGUCCAGACUCCUACGGGAGGCAGCAGUAGGGAAUCUUCCGCAAUGGGCGAAAGCCUGACGGAGCAACGCCGCGUGAGUGAUGAAGGUCUUCGGAUCGUAAAACUCUGUUAUUAGGGAAGAACAAAUGUGUAAGUAACUAUGCACGUCUUGACGGUACCUAAUCAGAAAGCCACGGCUAACUACGUG
rnacentral:rRNA from 1 species